rnacentral:rRNA from 1 species
UCAGACGAUGCGUCAUGCAUAUCAAUAAGCGGAGGAAAAGAAACUAACAAGGAUUCCCCUAGUAACGGCGAGUGAAGCGGGAAGAGCUCAAAUUUGAAAUCUUAAAGGGUUUCCCUUUACGAAUUGUAGUUUAAAGAAGUGUUUUCUGUUGAGGUUUUGGUAAAAGUUCUUUGGAAUAGGACAUCAUAGAGGGUGAGAAUCCCGUAUUUGACCUUUACUUUCAACUUUGUGAUACACUUUCAAAGAGUCGGAUUGUUUGGGAAUGCAGUCCAAAAUGGGUGGUAAAUUUCAUCUAAAGCUAAAUAUUGGCGAGAGACCGAUAGCGAACAAGUACCGUGAGGGAAAGAUGAAAAGAACUUUGAAAAGAGAGUUAAACAGUACGUGGAAUUGUCAAAAGGGAAGCGUUUGACACCAGUGUUGUUUUUCUGAAAAUCAAUUAAAGAACUGUUUAUGCUAAGCUGUUUAGACUUUAUCAGCUAUCUGUUUAGUUUUGAGCUUUUCUUUAAUGCACUUUUCAGUUAACAAGUCAACAUCAAUUUCUUUUGCUGUAAAAAAGCUUGAGGAAGGUGGCUUGAGAUUCGUCUUAAGUGUUUAUAGCCUCUUGCCUAUGCAGUCGGAGAGAUUGAGGUCUGCAGCGUAGAUCCUUCGGGGCUAAAUGCAUUUGUGCUAAGUUAUAGCAUUUUAUAGACAACUUGUUGACUAUGAUUUGUCUUGUAGCUUACUCGCUUAUGUUAUUUUACCUACGCUUAGGAUGUUGAAUCUGUGCGAGACUAC